UUUCAGGAGACUUUGUUUCAGAGAAUACCUGAAAUCACUGGAGCAAUGCCAAUGACAAGCGCUUAAUGUGAGCCAGGCCACACUGCAGAAAGUCCUGUUGCACCCUGGUGACAUGAGCAUGUCUAGCAUCUUCAAAUUGGGAGGGAAAGGUCACUUCGGGACACCCAAAACACAUCAAGCUGAAGGUGGAGCACAUAAGGGCCACAAAGAGAUGAAGAAGCAGCCGGUUUGCUGGGCGGACCCUAAUGCUUUCUGGCCUGGAAGGGAAGAUCAUGCGCG
rnacentral:lncRNA from 1 species